ensembl:lncRNA
CCACACCACACCACACCACACACACACACACCACACACACACACGUGCCCUAUGCCAUGCCAAUAAAGCACUUUGAAUUUAAUCAAACAUUGAAAGAAAACCAGGAAGAAAGUAAACAAGGGGAAUAGAGGGAUGACAGAGAAAAAGAAAGAGAGACAGGUAGUGAUGACUGAGAUAGAAAGAAAGAAUGAGAUGGAAAAAGACAGACAGACAGAGAGAGAGAUAGAGAGAGAGAGGGAAAGCGAGAAAGGGAGAUGAUACAGAGAGAAAGACAAAUAGACAGAAAGAGAGAGGGAGAAAUAGAGAGAAAGACAAAUAGACAGAAAGAGAGAGGGAGAAAUAGAGAGAAAGUGGGAGAAAAGAGUGCAGAUGCAGGGAGAGAUGGAGGGAGAGAUGGAGGACGAGAGAUGGAGGGAGAGAUGGAGAGAGAGAUGGAGGGAGCGAUGGAGGGAGAGAUGGAGGGAGAGAUGGAGAGAGAGAUGGAGGACGAGAGAUGGAGGACGAGAGAUGGAGGGAGAGAUGGAGGAUGAGAGAUGGAGAGAGAGAUGGAGGGAGAGAUGGAGAGAGAGAAUGAGGACGAGAGAGAUACUGCACAUACCUCCACAGCCAUUAGUAGACCAGUGUGCCAACUACGCCAGUUUACACAGAAGGCCACUAACUCAGGGCAUUACAGAGAGGGCACUGCCAACACACACACACACACACACACACACACACACACACAUAAACACACACACACACACACAGAUAUACUGUAUACACACACACACAGAGACAUACACACACACACACACACACACACACACAUAAACACACACACACACACACACACACACACACACAGAUAUAUAUAUACACACACAGAGACAUACACACACACACACACACACACACACACACACAGAUAUAUACACACACACACACAUAAACACACACACACACACACAGAUAUAUACACACACACACACAGAGACAUACACACACACACACAUAUACACACACACAUACACACACACAAACACAC